UAGCAAGUCGACCAAAGGCGAAAGCAGUCAUCAAGGGCAUACCCGUUGAUCAAGAGCGAAAGUUAAGGGUUCGAAGACGAUCAGAUACCGUCGUAGUCUUAACUAUAAAUGAUACUGACUAGGGAUAGGACACCGUCCAUCUCGACUCCUCCUGAACCUUAGAGAAAUCAAAGUCUUUGAGUUCUGGGGGGAGUAUGGUCGCAAGGCUGAAACUUAAAGGAAUUGACGGAAGGGCACACAAAGAGUGGAACCUGCGGCUUAAUUUGACUCAACACGGGAAAACUCACCAGGUCCGGAUACACGUAUGAAAGACAAGCUGAAAGACUUUUCUCAAUGAUGUAAGUGGUGGUGCAUGGUCGUUCUUAGUUCGUGGAGUGGUUUGUCUGGUUUAUUCCGAUAACGAGCGAGACCCCGGCGUUCCUAAUAGGGGUGGCAGCCCGGCUCGCGCUUCGGCGCUUGCUAGCACGCCACCUCGCAAUUGCUUCUUAGACGUAUCAGAGCCGAUAAGGUUCUUGAAAUGGGUUAAUAACAGGUCAGUCAUGCCCUUAGAUGUUCUGGGCCGCACGCGCGUUACAAUGGUAGGCUUAAACAGUGCCUUUUACGGGCGUUUCCGGGGCCGACGGGUCCCGGUAACCCCUAGUCUCUCCCUUGACUGGGCCAGACUAUUGCAAUUAUUGGUCUCAAACGAGGAAUUUUUAGUAAUCGCAGGUCAUUAACCUGCGAUGAAUGCG
rnacentral:rRNA from 1 species